UACAGAGGGUGCAAGCGUUGUUCGGAAUUACUGGGCGUAAAGCGCGUGUAGGCGGCGACGUAAGUCGGGUGUGAAAUCCCUUGGCUUAACCAAGGAAGUGCAUCCGAUACUGUGUCGCUUGAGUACCGGAGGGGAUGGCGGAAGUUCCCGGUGAUUAGAGGUGAAAUUCGGUAGAUAUCGGGAGGAACACCUGUGGCGAAGGCGGCCAUCUGGACGGUAACUGACGCUGAGACGCGAAAGCGUGGGUAGCAAACAGG
rnacentral:rRNA from 1 species